GGGGAAGCUCCUUUAUAGCAAUAUACAAUUUGUAAGGUGCUGCAUGGCUGUCGUCAGCUCGGUGCCGUGAGGUGUUGGGUUAAGUCCCGCAACGAGCGCAACCCCUAUCACUAGUUGCCAUCAGGUAAUGCUGGGAACUCUAGUGAAACUGCCGCCGUAAGGCGUGAGGAAGGAGGGGAUGAUGUCAAGUCAUCAUGGCCUUUAUGCCCAGGGCUACACACGUGCUACAAUGGCGAGUACAAAGGGCAGCUACUUGGUAACAGGAUGCUAAUCUCAAAAAACUCGUCUCAGUUCGGAUUGGGGUCUGCAACUCGACCUCAUGAAGCUGGAAUCGCUAGUAAUCGUAUAUCAGCAAUGAUACGGUGAAUACGUUCCCGGACCUUGUACACACCG
rnacentral:rRNA from 1 species